rnacentral:tRNA from 1 species
GGCUGUGUAGCUCAGCUGGUUAGAGCGCACGACUCAUAAUCGUGAGGUCGCGGGUUCGAGUCCCGCCUCAGCUA